UGGGGAAUUUUGGACAAUGGGCGAAAGCCUGAUCCAGCAAUGCCGCGUGUGUGAAGAAGGCCUUCGGGUUGUAAAGCACUUUUGUCCGGAAAGAAAUCCUUGGCUCUAAUACAGUCGGGGGAUGACGGUACCGGAAGAAUAAGCACCGGCUAACUACGUGCCAGCAGCCGCGGUAAUACGUAGGGUGCAAGCGUUAAUCGGAAUUACUGGGCGUAAAGCGUGCGCAGGCGGUUUGCUAAGACCGAUGUGAAAUCCCCGGGCUCAACCUGGGAACUGCAUUGGUGACUGGCAGGCUAGAGUAUGGCAGAGGGGGGUAGAAUUCCACGUGUAGCAGUGAAAUGCGUAGAGAUGUGGAGGAAUACCGAUGGCGAAGGCAGCCCCCUGGGCCAAUACUGACGCUCAUGCACGAAAGCGUGGGGGAGCAAACAGGAUUAGAUACCCUGGUAGUCCACGCCCUAAACGAUGUCAACUAGUUGUUGGGGAUUCAUUUCCUAGUAACGUAGCUAACGCGUGAAGUUGACCGCCUGGGGAGUACGGUCGCAAGAUUAAAA
rnacentral:rRNA from 1 species